UACGUAGGGUGCGAGCGUUGUCCGGAAUUACUGGGCGUAAAGCGUGUGUAGGUGGUUAGAUAAGUUAGAUGUGAAAUCCCCGGGCUUAACCUGGGCACUGCGUUUAAGACUGUUUAACUAGAGUACUGUAGAGGAUAGUGGAAUUUCCAGUGUAGCGGUGAAAUGCGUAGAUAUUGGAAGGAACACCAGUGGCGAAGGCGACUAUCUGGACAGAUACUGACACUGAGACACGAAAGCGUGGGGAGCAAACAGG
rnacentral:rRNA from 1 species